UCUAAUUACCUCAGUAAAAAUGUAUGUUCAAAUCUGUUUUAUUCCGUGUUAAGAAUCACUUUUUGCUGUUCUCAAGUUGUAUCAAAUGAUAGCUGUUGUAACCUUAAUCAUAAAGGAUUUCCAUUUUUGCAAAAAACUUGAUCUAGGAAGCUUUAUGUAGGCUGGAAUUAUUUUCAUGGUUAAGUGUAGACAGAUAUAUAAUUUGGUGUUUAUUACUCAGUGUUCAUACUAGGGACCUCUGACCUUCUCUCGACCCGGAAGCUUUUAAGCAAUGCGUAAAUGAAAGACAUAUAUUCAAACUUGGUCACAUAGCACAUAUAAGACAGGUAUAUGCUACAAUAAGUUGAGUGAAUGCAAGAGAGCUUUGGAUAACAAACGUCUGCCUCGUUAGAGCCUCGAGAAACCUUCAAAAAUGUACAAAAGGCUGGCCCUCAUCCUUUUGUUCGCGGCCUGGGCACAACUGGCAUCAGCAAACUACAGAACAUGCAACUGCUUCAUUCGAACUGAAGACGAGGCAAAUGCUCCUGUUCUGGUGUCAUGGUCUGACAGAUUAAGCUCCUGUGGCCUUUUCUGUGGCUUUCCUGGCUUCCAUGUUUCUUGCGAUGAGGUCAAAAGCUGGUGCCCCAACAACUGCUUUAAUAAAGCCAAAUCCAAGCUGCGUAGCAAUGCCGAGCUUGACAAAAUGUGCGAGAGACAUGGCAAAAUAGUUUCCGCUCAAAAUGGGAUCCAUAUGUAUGCAUACAGCAAAGUGAUGAACAACUGCGGAGCAGCUUGGGACCACUACAACCUGAAUGCAAAACUUUGUUGUUUCGUUUUGCGACCUCAGAACAGAUGGAUCGGUUACAUAUGUUAGCCUAUGG